GGACCACCAUGCAGCUGGAGGUGGCCCCCUCUGGGAGGUGCACGGCUUCUGGGUACUUCUCCUUGAAAUGUUCAAAUGUCCGUUUACGAUAUUCGCACCACUCCACAAAAAAGUGUAGGCUUCGGAAAAACAUCAGCAGAUCUCUUCUUUCUUCUGCUCUGUAGGAAUAGAAGAUUUUAUGAUUCAUAAAUGUCAGAAAUGAGAGCCCCAUCUUGGCAUUUUUAAUCAUAUUGCUUUUUAUAUACCCUAAAGCUAAAAAAAGUACUUGAUACACUUCUAUAUUCUGAACUCUGAGUACGUGUCCCUGUGUGAUUGCUAAUGCUAAUUUGCCCUUUGCCCUUUGCCCCAUCUUAAAAUGUUUAAAUCCUAAACAAGGUACCUCUCAAAUACCACUCUGUCCUUGAAUUUGUAUUUGAUGACCAUGGCAUAUAAUAAAGACUAUUUCUGGCACAGAGCUUCAAAAACCCUUGGAAUUCCUGAGUGACCAGUGUGUGUCUCUUAUGCUAAUGAAGUGACACAUGGUGGCCCCUCGAUAGCCUAAGGAUAGGGGCUGGUCACCACAAAGACUAACCACAUGCUUAACAGGUUGGAACUUUGGGCCAACCAGACCUCCAGCAAGGACAGGGGGACUGGAGGAGUUUCAUCACAUGGCACCUGAAGUGGGCCACCUUGUUCAGGACUUUGCCCUUAACCUGUAGGUCUGCACUAAAUCUGAGCAGUGUCAGGACUGAACUAAUUGCAGGACAUUCCGGGGGGUGUCAGAGAUUAUUCUCUGAACAGUGACCUCACCACCACACCACACGACCUAUUCCAAAAUGGCUAGAAAUAAUUUUUGUCCUAUUGCCUAUGAGCUCUCAUGGAAUUGAUCUUAAUGCUCUUAACGCUAUGCCUAUUGUUAUAUUGAUACCCAUAAAAUAAGCAACUUGUAGGCAAGAUGAGUGUAUUCACUUAACCGGGCUUUCAAUAAAUGAUUGUGGGAGUCGAGUUCCCAUACUGGUCAUC